GACAGAGGGUGCAAACGUUGUUCGGAAUUACUGGGCGUAAAGCGCGUGUAGGCUGCUCCGCAAGUCGGAUGUGAAAGCCCUGGGCUCAACCUAGGAAGUGCAUUCGAUACUGCAGAGCUUGAGUCCUGGAGAGGAAGGCGGAAUUCUCGGUGUAGAGGUGAAAUUCGUAGAUAUCGAGAGGAACACCGGUGGCGAAGGCAGCCUUCUGGACAGUGACUGACGCUGAGACGCGAAAGCGUGGGGAGCAAACAGGG
rnacentral:rRNA from 1 species